rnacentral:rRNA from 1 species
UACAGAGGAUGCGAGCGUUAUCCGGAAUGAUUGGGCGUAAAGCGUCUGUAGGUGGCUUUUUAAGUCCGCCGUCAAAUCCCAGGGCUCAACUCUGGACAGGCGGUGGAAACUACCAAGCUGGAGUACGGUAGGGGCAGAGGGAAUUUCCGGUGGAGCGGUGAAAUGCGUAGAGAUCGGAAGGAACACCUGUGGCGAAAGCGGCUCACUGGACCAUUACUGACGCUGAGGCACGAAAGCUAGGGGAGCAAACAGG